rnacentral:rRNA from 1 species
CUACGGGAGGCUCCAGUCGAGAAUCUUCCGCAAUGGACGAAAGUCUGACGGAGCGACGCCGCGUGCGGGAUGCCUGCCUUCGGGUUGUAAACCGCUGUCAGUGGGGAGGAAAUGCAUCAGGGUUCUCCCUGGUGUUUGACCGAUCCGCAGAGGAAGCGCAGGCUAAGUUCAUGCCAGCAGCCGCGGUAACACGAACUGCGCGAACGUUAUUCGGAAUCACUGGGCUUAAAGAGUUCGUAGGCGGCCUUUCAAGUCGGGUGUGAAAUCCCUCGGCUCAACCGAGGAAUUGCGCCUGAUACUGUCGGGCUUGAGGGGGAUAGGGGUGAGCGGAACUGAUGGUGGAGCGGUGAAAUGCGUUGAUAUCAUCAGGAACACCGGUGGCGAAGGCGGCUCACUGGAUCUCUUCUGACGCUGAGGAACGAAAGCUAGGGGAGCGAAUGGGAUUAGAUACCCGGGUAGUC